rnacentral:lncRNA from 1 species
UACAAGUCUUCGAUACUAAAAAAACAUAAGCAAAAAAAAAUCUAAAUUGAAACUGUUACAAGGGGAAUCAAACUCUAUGUGAUCGUGACGUCAUGAUGUUUAUGUGGUCAUGAAAGGAGUUUAUGUGAUCGUGAAGUUGUGGAAAUUAUGUGGUCAUGAAAUUGUGGAAUUUAUGUGAUCGUGAAAUUGUGGAGGAUCGUGAAGUUGUGGAGUGUAUGUGAUCGUGAAAUUGUGGAAUUUAUGUGAUCGUGAAGUAGUUGAGUUUAUUUCUGCAUCUUUUUUUAAUUGAAUUUGUGUAUUUCCUUUUUCUUUAUUACUUUUUGUAGUUUUGGCUGUGUUUUGUGUUUUUGUGUUAAGUUUACCGUAACUCAGUUACGUCAUCCAAGAGUCACUUCUUCUCGACUACACCAAAUGAUCUUCAAAUUCGAUGCUGAUCCUACAAGAAAAUAGAACACUGUUAUACUUUGAGCAGAGUUGUUUUUCAAAAAUAUAAAGUUUAUACAAUCAAAUUAUUAGCCAAGAAAUACAACAUACUACACUCAGACGAGAUGAGGUUGCUUCUCACCUAAACCUGGACAAAGUAAUGCAAAAGGUUCAAACGACAGAUAAAUCCAUUGAAAUCCAUGAAACAUACAAUGAAAUCAAAUUUUACCUUAGCAAGGAAAUGCUUGAAUCUUCCAUAUCCACGAAACUUUUAAUUUUUUCAGUGAUAUCUUUAAGUCCUAAAAUAGAGAUUUAAUCAAAGCAUUAUGUCAGAGUUAGUAAACACUAGAACUUUAACCUGGACCAAUUUUCAAACGACAGAUAAAUUUCAUAUGAAACCUAUGAGUCUAUGACGAUUAUAGGUGGGGAGAGCAGAAAAAAAUAUAUUAAAGAAACAUGGUACCGUGAUUUACCUUAACAGAACAUAACGAAAAAAAUGCUUGGCUUUCCUAUAUUCACAAGCCUUGUAGUGUUGUAAGUUGCUAUGGCCACGAUAGCGCAGUAUCUAACAAACAAAUCUAAGUUCGGGUAAUGCACCGUCAAACGAACUCUGCCUGCAAAACAUUUUACACUUUAGCAAUCACAAAACAAUGUCAAAACUGAUCUGAUUUUAGUUUAUCUUCAAGGUUCCGACCUACCAAAUUCUCUUUUAGAGAUCACUUGAUUGACGUUAAUUGUAAUGCUACAGACUUCACUAAAUGUUUUCCCAGACGCAGAAGCGG